UCGGAGCGGUUCCGAGCGGUGACGUGAUGGCGAGGGGCUGGAGACUAACCGGCACCACCCGUUCCCGAUCGCUGGUCCUGAGGAGGAACUGGGACCAGAGCUGUCACUGGACAGUGAGACCUGGGACAUCCCAAUGGCCAGGGACACCUCUGCCUUCAUCUGCUUCCACUGAGAUUAAGGGAGUGACUCAUGUUCUUUUAUAUGAUUUUUGAGUCUAGAUUAUGGUUGUUAUAGUGAUACUGUAAAAGGUAUGCUAUGAUCCAACCCCAUCUGCAGAGAGUCCAUGUGAACAGAAAUCAUAAAUAAAAUUGUCUUAUAAAUUGUAUAUUUUACUACUUAGAGAUUGCACUACACUCCUCUCAGCUGUGUCUUGAUUUGACAAGAGACAGCUGAGAUGAGACCCCAUAAAUGUCUUUAAGUAUCUAAAGGAGGGAGUCAAUAGGAUGGAUCCUUUCUAGUGGUGCUAAGCAGUAGAACAAGAGGCAGACACUGAUGUCCAGGAAGUUGCACCUGAACAUGAGGAAGAUCUUCUUAACUGUGCAGUGACUGAGCACUGGAACAGAAACCCAGAGACGGUGUAGAGCUUCCCUCACUGGGGUACUCAAGAGCUACCUGGACACAAUCCUGUGCCGUGUGGUCUAGGAUGACCCUCUUGAGAAGGGAGGUUGGACCAGAUGACUGACUGUGGUCCCUUCCAACCUGACCCAUUCUGUGUGUAAUUCUGUUAAUAGAAAUACUGUGUUAUGCCGGUAAUAAAUUCUGUGCUAUACUAAUAAUGAAAUCCCAGUAAGGAAAAUAAAGCUUUAAUUGUUAAUCUGUUGUUUAAUGGUUAAACUAAGUGUUAAACAGUACAACUUAGUGUUGUCAUAGUUUUGUCAAGGAUCUCUAAAAUAACCUGUCUGUCCUUAGUGUCUGGUGGCUCGUAAAAGCAAUAAAGAGGCAAGAUUAGCACUGGCAUCUCAGUCCUAUAGUUGAAAUCAAUUGCAGGAUCAAGGGCUGUUUCCCUUUAUGGUUACAAUCCCUAGGGUCUGUGUUUGAAAGAAAUUCCCCUGAAGGAAUAUUUAAAUCAACAAGAAAGAAAAAUUAAUAGCUUCAAUGAACAAAUAAAGGCAAAUGCAUUUUCAGUGAAUGCAGUCCAGGAAGGUCUGCAGAGGAUUUUUUUUCCCCUACAUCCUUUUGUCCUGUGUUAGUGGCUUGUCCUGACCUUUGGCACUGCCAGUGACCAAUAUCUCUUGAGAAAAGCUGGCUGCAAGGAAGGAAGUCAUGUUGCUUCUGGUGACAUGACAGUCGCAGGUAAUUAGCCAGCAGCUGUGGCCAAGUGGCUGGCACCACCAGGCUCCAUUCAGACAUGGUAUAAACACGGCCAAGACUGCUCAAGUCCACAGAGCUGUGUGCUAUCUGCAGAGGAGGAUGAAAAUGAGCUCUCUUACAGAGCCCAGCAAGCUUUCCCAGGAGACCUGGAACACACAGCCUUCGCUUGGCAGGUUGUUGCUGAAGGGAGAUGCAGGUCUCAAAAUCAACACUAGCUUAAUGCCGUGAACAACUAUGACCUGGAGACAAAUUCACAGAUGUAUUAUGUAUUUGAUACACAAAUCUGCCACCAGCCAUGCAGGAGUGGGAGGAAGGAGAUCAGCAUUCUGGCAGAGAUAAAGGAAAAUGCAGCCCCUAACUUUGCCAGAAACUCAGAUCGUACUAUUCUGUCUUCAGAAAGCUGUAUCAAGUCAUGCUGGGGCUGAAGCUGUUCUCUAAAAAUUUCAAGGCAACCCAGUUAGGCUACAUACUCCUUUAAAAUACAGAAAUCUCAAGAAAAGCUGAAUUACCACCAUAUACCUACACAUUAAUUUUUUUUCAAGAAUAAUCUUCAAUGUCAUUUCCAUAUUUAGCAAAGGCAUUCAAUAAUUGAGAAGGCCAACAACAGGGAACAGUACAAAACCAAAAAAUUGCCUGGAAGCAGCAAUAUUAAGAAAAUAAUUCAUGUUUCCAAGUGCUAAAAAGGUUUUAUUUCUAGCCCUGACACAUUAACUUGCAUUACUGACAGUGCUUAGGCUCAGCUACUGAAUUUUAGAAUUAGAGUGCAAUGUUUUCUUACAGCUAAUUCACUUAACUAAAUAGAUGAAAAUAUACCAAAUCUGUGUUCAUAUUUAAGCAUAUGUGAUGAUAAUGUGAAAAAGGUGUUACUGGUGGAUCAUGGAUUAUACUGUAAAAUGUGUCAGAAUGCACGAUGUACUUUGUUAUUAAUACAUUUUUGCAUUAAUAACUGAAAAUUUGUUAAUUAACACUUAAAGACCCAAUAAUUUUAUUUCUAAGGGUAUGGAUAUCUGGAUAUCCAGGGACAUACGUAUAAUGCUUUCCAGGACAGACACUUCUUUUUACAUAAAGGGGUGUGUAGGGAGUUUGUUUUCCAGAACUCCUUUGAAACAAUUUUUUAGCCUAGUCAGUCAUAGAUACAUUUCCAUGUGAAUUAAUUAUAUUACACUGGAGUUGAAUACAAUCCUUUAUAGAGACUGUGAAUCCUGAUGUACCUUUCGGAUGGUAAAAAAACUAUCAAUUCUUCAAUGAUUUUUGGCAGCAUUCUGCUUGUAUUACAUGUGGUUGAAGGUUUUUCAUAAGAUCUAUUAGCCCUAGUUAUUAUGAGAGCACUGUUGCAUAGAGGCAGGUGCCUAAACAUAAUUUGCUGAUGAGGUAGCUAUGCUGACAUGCAGAGCAAGUAAUUCCAUUCAUGGGACCCUUAAACAUAUCUUUACGUACUUCCCUGUAUUGCACCUUCCCAGCAGCUCCGAUGAGAGCUGCACUUACUGUGAGUAUGACUUCCUCUUCUCUGACCACUGCCACCUGGUCAUUCCAGCUCUCAUCUGACUCCAUAUAUGCAAUAUUUGCAAGGCAGUUUGUUACAUGUUUUGUACAACUUUACUUUAGUGGGAGUAAUUGUUACUGCCAAUUCACUAUGCUUUCCGUCUAAAAAAAAAAAUCCAUCUAGAUUUUGUUUAUUUCUUGUGGAUAAGAGCACAUAUAGUAAUUACUGCUCAUCCCCAUUUCACGGAAGCAGCUAAUCAGCCUGAUGAGCUCAAAUUACUGCACACAUUAACAAUUAUAUAGUAUAUAUUUAAUCUGGAGUGUGCACAGUGCACCUAAUAUAUUUGCAAGUAAGCCCACCAGGGUGUAAAGCACUGCCUUUGUAAAGCAUUUGUAAUUUCUCUGUGAAAGACUGGCUUAAGAAGUUAAGGCUGACACUUGUUUCAUUGCAAGAAAAGAGCACACACACUCAAAAGCAUUGCAGUAUGCCACAAGUCCCUUUUAUAGUAACAGUUCCCAAUUAAUAUAUCACUCAACUAAACACUACCCCUAAGAAAUUGUCAAUGUGUAAGGUGUGCAAAUACUGAGUCUUAUUAGUCCUGGAUUCUGAUCAUAUCCCUACCUCCCAUUUAAAUUUAUUUCCUUGGCUCUAAUAAGGGACUUUACUCAGUGAAGCUAUUAUUUCUUAUACCAUAGUUCACUUCAAAUUUAGAGCAAAUACAUUUGUCACCUGGUAUAGUUCAAAUUUAAGACAUUAUGUCACCUAUGCUGCUGAGAUCAGAGCAAACCUUGCACAGGGAAGUGCAGCCAUGAGGGUUUAGUCCACUAAGCCCCACUGGCUGUUUCCAUCACCUUGUCUAUCCAUUGACAAGUUGGUUUCAACAGCUUGAAAAACCCAUGACCAAAUGCAUAUGUGCUUCAACUGAGGACUGAGACCAUUAUUUUAAUAAGUAAAUGCUCAAUGAGCUUUUAUGCUAUUUUGUUUACCCAUCAAAACCAUGUGUGCAGUCUGACUGUAAUUCCAUUUUAAUUUAUGAUCAAAUAAAAUGUGGAAAUUA